UACGUAGGGUGCAAGCGUUAUCCGGAAUUAUUGGGCGUAAAGAGCUCGUAGGCGGUUUGUCGCGUCUGCUGUGAAAACUGGAGGCUCAACCUCCAGCCUGCAGUGGGUACGGGCAGACUAGAGUGCGGUAGGGGAGAUUGGAAUUCCUGGUGUAGCGGUGGAAUGCGCAGAUAUCAGGAGGAACACCGAUGGCGAAGGCAGAUCU
rnacentral:rRNA from 1 species